rnacentral:rRNA from 1 species
CCUACGGGUGGCAGCAGUGGGGAAUAUUGCACAAUGGGGGAAACCCUGAUGCAGCAACGCCGCGUGAGUGAAGAAGGCAUUCGGGAUGUAAAGCUCUAUCAGCAGGGAAGAAAAUGACGGUACCUGACUAAGAAGCCCCGGCUAACGACGGGCCAGCAGCCGCGGUAAUACGGAGGGGGCAAGCGUUAGCCGGAUUGACUGGGUGAAAAGGGAGCGUAGACGGCGCCGCAAGUCUGAAGUGAAAUGCCAGUGCUCAACACUGGAACUGCUUUGGAAACUGUGUGGCGAGAGUGCCGGAGAGGUAAGUGGACUUCCUAGUGUAGCGGUGAACUGCGUAGAUAUUAGGAGGAACACCAGUGGCGAAGGCGGCUUACUGGACUGUAACUGACGUUGAGGCUCGAAUGCGUGGGGAGCAAACAGGAUUAGAUACCCGUGUAGUC